rfam:Camelus ferus unplaced genomic scaffold scaffold2524, whole genome shotgun sequence.
GGGGAUAGCUCAGUGGUAGAGCACAUGCUUAGCAUGCACAAGGUCCUGGGUUCAAUCCCCGGUACCUCCA